rnacentral:rRNA from 1 species
UUGAAAGGGAAACGAUUGAAGUCAGUCGUACUAACGGGAAAUCAGCUCUUUGAGUGCGGACUUGUGGGCGUGCGUGAGCUUCGGUCUCGCUGUUUGCAACGUUUGUGCUUUUUGGGUGUACUUUUUCGUAUGGUAGGCCAACAUCAGUUUCGAACACCAUAAAAUAACCGGCGGAAUGUAGCUUCGAUCUCGUAUUGAAGUGUUAUAGCCUCUGGUAGAUGUGAUGAUCGGGACUGAGGAUUGCAACGAAUACCCUUCGGGCUAUCCGUCUGACCUCUGAAGGUUACUUAGGUGCCGAAAGCUUGCUUACGGUUGUUUAAGUUGACAGUCAAAAGGCUAGAACGUGAUUAAAUUCGUUAAGGAUGUUGACGUA